GGAAGCAGCUGCAGGAAUGCUCGUGGAGCUGUACUUCCAGCCUCUUGGGGUCAAGCAGGGAAGGUCCUGAGCAGCUGAGAGAAACAUGCUCCUGUGUCAGGUGUGGGCAGGUCCUGUUUGGGACCCUGGGACUCUGGCCAGCUGGGAGCGCCCAAGAAGUUAGGCCUGAGGUCACUGUCUCAAGUCACUGGAACAGGCUUCAACGGCCAGCUGCCCAGGCUCCUGGACACAGGGUCACACCACCUCCUGGCUCCUCUACCUGCCUGACCUCAGGCCCCGGAGAGGGAAAGUGCCGCCAUUUCUGGCUUGCUGGCCAUGUUCUGGGCAUAUGUGGUUGCCAUGGCUCGUGUAGCCUUGUGGAGGCAGGCUGCUCUGAUCCCAUUUUAUAAGGAAUGGCGGGAGGGCAUCUCAGACUGGGCCAUGUCUUCCCUCGACCAGGCUUUUGACAUUACUGACACAGGUGGUCAGAGCUGGACGGCUUCCCAGGUCCACCUGACCCGACCCCUUGCUUUACAGAGGGGAGAACACUGGUCCUAAGAAGCCGCCCAACUUGUCCAAGGUCACAGUACACAUGGCCCAGUCGAGAGCCUUCUCCUGUGGCCUAGUCGUUGUCUUUUCCAGUAAGUGCAAAGAUGUCGAAGGGUCUGAGUGAGCUGGAGAAGCAGGACGUCCUUGGUGGCCCUCUACACUAUCUCGUUCAAGCCUUGGAGCAGGAAAGAAGGACCAGUCCAGGUCAUCCUGCCCAGCCCCUGCCUCCAGCCAACUGCACAGGAGCAAUCAGUGAAAACGCACAGAUCCUUAGGGCCAGUAAGUCCAUCCUGGAAGAAUUUUUUUUUUUUUUUGCACAAAUAUACGUACAUGUACAAAGAUUCAUUACAGCCCUGUUCUUAAGAGCAAGAGACUAGAAACAACCUAAAUGUCCAUCAACAGAGGGAUGGUUUAAAAUGUUAUUCUUUACCCAUGUAAUGGAAUACAAUGCAGCUGUUAAAAAGAGGGCACACAUUCUAUCAGAUGGUGAGUAACUGCCGGGAUAUACUGGUAAUGAAAAAAGGCAAGGACCUGAGACCUGAGAUGGGGGGAUAGGAGUGU